AAACAAUGCUAAUUGCGUCAGGGAAGUAUUAGCAUAUGUUGUAUUUUGAAGCUACCCUGGCUUUAUGACUCUCAAGUGGCACUACGUCUCAGUGCUAGAGGCGUCACUACAGACACCGAUCUUCAAAUCCAGACUGCGUUUCUAUCAAAGUGGUCCACCUUCCCUGUGGCCGACAUGGGUGCUGUAUGGACAGUGGAGAGGACAUGGACGACGUCUCGUUUGUCAUGGCACUUUACCGCCAGCUAUUAACAUUUUCUUAUUUUGUAUAACGGGUCAUUUAGGAUGGCAGUAGGGUUGUUGAUGAAAUGCAGUCAUAGCAGCAGAACUAGAAAGCAGUCUUGGGAAAAGAGGGUGGCAAAGAAGGGAGUUGCAAACAUCUGCUCCAGUAUUCUCUUAGGGAGUUCUUCUUUACUAUCCCCAAGAGAAGGACUGUCACCAGGAAGCUCAGUCACCAGUCAGAAACAACUUCAAGCACUCUGCCUCAGAUGGAAAUGGCAAGGGGCGUUGCACUCCAGACCGGGACUCAUCAACACAAACAGCAGGGCCAGGAGGGGUGAAAUGGCUGGCAGCCUUCCAGCUACUACAGAACUCCUGUAACUUCAUCCACUAUCGGUCUGCCUCCAUCACCACCAGCAUCUUCAAAGGGAACUGGGACUUUGUCAGUAGACAAGGGGUCCUCAGACAAGGGGUCCUCUGUCACUGUCAGAAUCUGAUUCCUGACUUUCAGACUCAGACUCAUUGUCAGAAUUUCUGCAUUUCUUAGUUGUCUCCUUUUGAAAGACAUUGCUAAUGCUACAGCUUAUCUCACUAGCUACAUACAUAAACAACAACACUGAAUGGCUCAGAGUGGGAGUGAGAGGUUACGUGAUUGACUGACUGCACGCGCCA
rnacentral:lncRNA from 1 species